rnacentral:lncRNA from 1 species
UUGAAUCAAUUCAUGAAUCCAGCGGCCACACAUCUAGCAAAUAGAAGGAAGAUCUGAACAACUGUACAAAAAGGAAGGUUUAACCUUAGGAAGGAGCUGGGACAGGGAAGUCAUAAACAGAAGAAAGGAACAUUUCAGAUGCAGACUUUCAUACAUUAAAGGCAGCAAGCCCUUAAUCUCACUCCGGAUAAACACUGGAUUUUGAAACCCAGCUGCCCACACGAGUCAUGUGGACCCAUCAAAUGAGGAGUGAACCUCAACCAAGCUUCAGAUGCCUGGGUCCCUACACUGGACAGUGUAUGUAAUGACAAGGAAAU